rnacentral:rRNA from 1 species
CCUACGGGCGGCAGCAGUGGGGAAUAUUGGGCAAUGGGCGCAAGCCUGACCCAGCAACGCCGCGUGAAGGAAGAAGGCUUUCGGGUUGUAAACUUCUUUUCUGAGGGACGAAGAAAGUGACGGUACCCCAGGAAUAAGCCACGGCUAACUACGUGCCAGCAGUCGCGGCAAUACGUAGGUGGCAAGCGUUAUCCGGAUUUAUUGGGUGUAAAGGGCGUGUAGGCGGGAAAGCAAGUCAGAUGUGAAAACUCAGGGCUCAACCCUGAGCCUGCAUUUGAAACUGUUUUUCUUGAGUGCUGGAGAGGCAAGCGGAAUGCGGGGUGUAGCGGUGAAAUGCGUAGAUAUACGGAGGAACACCAGUGGCGAAGGCGGAUUGCUGGACAGUAACUGACGCUGAGGCGCGAAAGCGUGGGGAGCGAACAGGAUUAGAUACCCCAGUAGUC